rnacentral:rRNA from 1 species
UACGUAGGGUGCGAGCGUUGUCCGGAGUUACUGGGCGUAAAGGGUGCGCAGGCGGCGGUUCGCGUGGCGAGUUGAAAUCUCCUGGCUUACCUGGGAGGAUGGUCGCCAGACGGGAUCGCUUGAGGGUCGGAGAGGGGCGUGGAAUUCCGGGUGGAGCGGUGAAAUGCGUAGAGAUCCGGAGGAACACCGACGGCGUAGGCAGCGCCCUGGACGACACCUGACGCUGAGGCACGAAAGCUGGGGGAGCGAACAGG